rnacentral:rRNA from 1 species
UACGUAGGGCGCGAGCGUUGUCCGGAAUUAUUGGGCGUAAAGAGCUCGUAGGUGGCUUGUUGCGUCUGCCGUGAAAGCCCGUGGCUUAACUACGGGUCUGCGGUGGAUACGGGCAGGCUAGAGGCUGGUAGGGGCAAGCGGAAUUCCUGGUGUAGCGGUGAAAAUGCGCAGAUAUCAGGAGGAACACCGGUGGCGAAGGCGGCUUGCUGGGCCAGUUCUGACGUGAGGAGCGAAAAGCGUGGGGGGAGCGAA